rnacentral:rRNA from 1 species
GUGCUUGCACAGAUGACGACCGGCGCACGGGUGCGUAACGCGUAUAGAACCUACCUUUUACAGAGGAAUAGCCUUUAGAAAUGAAGAUUAAUGCCUCAUGGUAUUGUAGACUGGCAUCAGUUUAUAAUUAAAGAUUUAUCGGUAAAAGAUGGCUAUGCGUCCUAUUAGUUAGUUGGUAAGGUAACGGCUUACCAAGACAGCGAUAGGUAGGGGUCCUGAGAGGGAGAUCCCCCACACUGGUACUGAGACACGGACCAGACUCCUACGGGAGGCAGCAGUGAGGAAUAUUGGACAAUGGAGGAGACUCUGAUCCAGCCAUGCCGCGUGUAGGAAGAAUGCCCUAUGGGUUGUAAACUACUUUUAUACAGGAAGAAACACUGGUAUGUAUACCAGCUUGACGGUACUGUAAGAAUAAGGACCGGCUAACUCCGUGCCAGCAGCCGCGGUAAUACGGAGGGUCCGAGCGUUAUCCGGAAUCAUUGGGUUUAAAGGGUCCGC